CACCAGACUCCUACGGGAGGCAGCAGUGAGGAAUAUUGGUCAAUGGGCGGGAGCCUGAACCAGCCAAGCCGCGUGAAGGAAGAAGGCGCCAGGCGUCGUAAACUUCUUUUGUCGGGGAACAAAGGGCGCCACGUGUGGCGUUGUGAGUGUACCCGAAGAAAAAGCAUCGGCUAACUCCGUGCCAGCAGCCGCGGUAAUACGGAGGAUGCGAGCGUUAUCCGGAUUUAUUGGGUUUAAAGGGUGCGCAGGCGGAAUGUCAAGGCAGCGGUAAAAUGUCGGGGCUCAACCCCGUCGUGCCGUUGAAACUGGCGUUCUUGAGUGAGCGAGAAGUAUGCGGAAUGCGUGGUGUAGCGGUGAAAUGCAUAGAUAUCACGCAGAACUCCGAUUGCGAAGGCAGCAUACCGGCGCUCAACUGACGCUGAUGCACGAAAGCGUGGGUAUCGAACAGGAUUAGAUACCCCGGUA
rnacentral:rRNA from 1 species